rnacentral:rRNA from 1 species
CAGCCGCCGCGGGAAUACGGAGGGUGCAAGCGUUAAUCGGAAUUACUGGGCGUAAAGCGCACGCAGGCGGUCUGUCAAGUCAGAUGUGAAAUCCCCGGGCUUAACCUGGGAACUGCAUUUGAAACUGGCAGGCUAGAGUCUUGUAGAGGGGGGUAGAAUUCCAGGUGUAGCGGUGAAAUGCGUAGAGAUCUGGAGGAAUACCGGUGGCGAAGGCGGCCCCCUGGACAAAGACUGACGCUCAGGUGCGAAAGCGUGGGGAGCAAACAGGAUUAGAGACCCGAGUAGUCCCUGUCUCUUAUAC